rnacentral:rRNA from 1 species
ACUCCGUGCCAGCAGCCGCGGUAAUACGGAGGGUGCAAGCGUUGUCCGGAAUCAUUGGGCGUAAAGAGUUCGUAGGUGGUUUGUUAAGUUUGGUGUUAAAUGCAGAGGCUCAACUUCUGUUCGGCAUCGGAUACUGGCAGACUAGAAUGCGGUAGAGGUAAAGGGAAUUCCUGGUGUAGCGGUGAAAUGCGUAGAUAUCAGGAGGAACAUCGGUGGCGUAAGCGCUUUACUGGGCCGUAAUUGACACUGAGGAACGAAAGCCAGGGUAGCAAAUGGGAUUAGAUACCCCAGUAGUCCUGGCCGUAAACGAUGGAUACUAGGUGUUGCGGGUAUCGACCCCUGCAGUGCCGUAGCUAACGCGUUAAGUAUCCCGCCUGGGGAGUACGCACGCAAGUGUGAAACUCAAAGGAAUUGACGGGGACCCGCACAAGCGGUGGAACAUGUGGUUUAAUUCGAAGCAACGCGAAGAACCUUACCAGGGCUUGACAUCUAACAAACCUUUGUGAAAGCAGAGGGUGCUCUUCGGAGAAUGUUAAGACAGGUGGUGCACGGUUGUCGUCAGCUCGUGUCGUGAGAUGUUGGGUUAAGUCCCGCAACGAGCGCAACCCUCGUCGUUAGUUGGUACUAUCGGUAUACUUAUAGUAACCUCUCUAGCGAGACUGCCGGUGAUAAACCGGAGGAAGGUGAGGACGACGUCAAAUCAUCAUGCCCCUUAUGCUCUGGGCUACACACGUGUUACAAUGGCCGGUACAAUGAGCCGCCAACUCGCGAGAGUGAGCAAAUCUCUAAAAGCCGGUCUCAGUUCGGAUUGCAGUCUGCAACUCGACUGCAUGAAGUCGGAAUCGCUAGUAAACGCAGAUCAGCACGCUGCGUUGAAUACGUUCCCGGGUCUUGUACACACCGCCCGUCACACCAUGGAAGUCGACCACGCCCGAAGUACGUGAGCUAACCGUAAGGAAGCAGCGUCCUAAGGCAGGGUUGGUGACUGGGGUGAAGUCGUAACAAGGUAGCCGUACCGGAAGGUGUGGCUG